rnacentral:rRNA from 1 species
CAGCCGCCGCGGUAAUACCGGCGGCCCGAGUGGCGGCUACUAUUAUUGGGCUUAAAGCGUCCGUAGCCGGGUUGGUUAGUCUCCCGGGAAAUCUGGCCGCUUAACGGUCAGAAUUCCGGGAGAUACUGCCAGCCUAGGGACCGGGAGAGGCCGAGGGUAUUCCCGGAGGAGGGGGGAAAUCCUAUAAUCCCGGGAGGACCACCUGUGGCGAAGGCGCUCGGCUGGAACGGGUCCGACGGUGAGGGACGAAGGCCAGGGGAGCAAACCGGAUUAGAUACCCGGGUAGUCCUGGCGGUAAACGAUGCGGACUUUGUGUCGGACAAGCUAUGAGCUUGUCCGGUGCCGGAGGGAAACCGUUAAGUCCGCCGCCUGGGGAGUACGGCCGCAAGGCUGAAACUUAAAGGAAUUGGCGGG